GUUACCAACCACCAUCAUUUUUCAUAGCUGGUUCAAGUCAAAGUCAACAAGGAAGUCCUGCCGGCGGAAGAAGAAAGGCUGACAGCACUAGAAGAUUGAAAACACAGACUCGUCUGCGGCAGCCAAUCAGAUGACUCUGCGGAGAGAGAGUCACGUGAUGAGCACCGCUACCCUAUGCUUAUUCAGCACGGCUGAACAAGCCGACAUGGACCUAUAUAAAUCCAGAGGAGGCAACACACUGAACACCAGCGCCAGCCAGAAUCUAUUUUGUUUUUGCUCACUUUCAUUAUCCAUUAAUUAUUUGUAGGGUUGGCAUUACCAACAGCCCCAUUUUUUUUACAUUUUAUUUCCAUUAGUUCAGUGGGUUUUGGGUUUAGAGGAGAGGU